UGGGGUAUAUUGCACAAUGGGCGCAAGCCUGAUGCAGCAACGCCGCGGGAACGAUGAAGGUCUUCGGAUCGUAAAGUUCUGUUGCAGGGGAAGAUAAUGACGGUACCCUGUGAGGAAGCCCCGGCUAACUACGUGCCAGCAGCCGCGGUAAUACGUAGGGGGCUAGCGUUAUCCGGAUUUACUGGGCGUAAAGGGUGCGUAGGUGGUCUUUCAAGUCGGUGGUUAAAGGCUACGGCUCAACCGUAGUUAGCCUCCGAAACUGGAAGACUUGAGUGCAGGAGAGGAAAGUGGAAGUCCCAGUGGUGCGGUGAAAUGCGUAGAUAUUGGGAGGAACACCAGUAGCGAAGGCGGCUUUCUGGACUGCAACUGACACUGAGGCACGAAAGCGUGGGUAGCAAACAGG
rnacentral:rRNA from 1 species